GGAUCCAGACUUUGAUCCUGGCUCAUGAUGAACGCUAGCUACAGGCUUAACACAUGCAAGUCGAGGGGAAACGACAUCGAAAGCUUGCUUUUGAUGGGCGUCGACCGGCGCACGGGUGAGUAACGCGUAUCCAACCUGCCCAUCACUUGGGGAUAACCUUGCGAAAGUAAGACUAAUACCCAAUGAUAUCUCUAGAAGACAUCUGAAGGAGAUUAAAGAUUCAUCGGUGAUGGAUGGGGAUGCGUCUGAUUAGCUUGUUGGCGGGGUAACGGCCCACCAAGGCGACGAUCAGUAGGGGUUCUGAGAGGAAGGUCCCCCACAUUGGAACUGAGACACGGUCCAAACUCCUACGGGAGGCAGUAGUGAGGAAUAUUGGUCAAUGGACGAGAGUCUGAACCAGCCAAGUAGCGUGCAGGAUGACGGCCCUAUGGGUUGUAAACUGCUUUUAUAAGGGAAUAAAGUGAGUCUCGUGAGACUUUUUGCAUGUACCUUAUGAAUAAGGACCGGCUAAUUCCGUGCCAGCAGCCGCGGUAAUACGGAAGGUCCGGGCGUUAUCCGGAUUUAUUGGGUUUAAAGGGAGCGUAGGCCGGAGAUUAAGCGUGUUGUGAAAUGUAGACGCUCAACGUCUGCACUGCAGCGCGAACUGGUUUCCUUGAGUACGCACAAAGUGGGCGGAAUUCGUGGUGUAGCGGUGAAAUGCUUAGAUAUCACGAAGAACUCCGAUUGCGAAGGCAGCUCACUGGAGCGCAACUGACGCUGAAGCUCGAAAGUGCGGGUAUCGAACAGGAUUAGAUACCCUGGUAGUCCGCACGGUAAACGAUGGAUGCCCGCUGUUGGUCUGAAUAGGUCAGCGGCCAAGCGAAAGCAUUAAGCAUCCCACCUGGGGAGUACGCCGGCAACGGUGCAACUCAAAGGAAUUGACGG
rnacentral:rRNA from 1 species